GUGCCGCGCCGCCGCGGGGAGCUGCCUGCCCUGGCGGGGGCCGGCCCGCCCGCCUGCGCGCCGCCGCCGGAGGGAGGGAGGGGAGCAGCGGGGACGCGCUCAGCCGCCGGCCACCAUCUUCCUCACGGGAAGGCGGGGGGGGUUGUGUGUGUGUGCGCGCCGUUGGGGCGCGGCGCCGCGGCGGGAGCGCGCACACCACCACCACCCCCCCGCCUUCCCGCCCAGGCUGAGGGGUGCGCGCGUGGCUGAGGGGAGCGGCUCGCGCCCCGUCCCUCAGAGGCGGCGGCGGGCUGACAGGGACGGGGUGAGCCUUUCCCAGCUGGGUGCCCCCAAAGCCCUCGAUUCCGGCCAUCCUUCCCCCAGCGGCAAGUCCCCCCUUCUCUGAAGACAGCACCGUUUAGUAAAAUCUUUCGUUUACUGGUUCGGAGGACAGUGAAAUGGGACUGAAGAAGACAUCUGACUUGUCAAACCCCUCCUCUGGUGAUCUGCCGUGGAAAGGUGACCCCGGGCGCUGCUGAGCCGGGAAUGGACAUGGUGAGAGCCAUUGCUGCCUGAGCUGAGCGUUCCCAGG